rnacentral:rRNA from 1 species
ACGGAAGGCAGCAGUGGGGAAUAUUGGGCAAUGGGCGAAAGCCUGACCCAGCAACGCCGCGUGAGGGAAGAAGGUUUUUGGAUUGUAAACCUCUGUCCUCAGGGACGAAGAAUGUGACGGUACCUGAUGAAUAAGCCACGGCUAACUACGUGCCAGCAGCCGCGGUAAUACGUAGGUGGCAAGCGUUAUCCGGAUUUACUGGGUGUAAAGGGCGCGUAGGCGGGGAUGCAAGUCAGAUGUGAAAUCCAUGGGCUUAACCCAUGAACUGCAUUUGAAACUGUAUUUCUUGAGUGUCGGAGAGGUAGACGGAAUUCCUAGUGUAGCGGUGAAAUGCGUAGAUAUUAGGAGGAACACCAGUGGCGAAGGCGGUCUACUGGACGAUAACUGACGCUGAGGCGCGAAAGCGUGGGGAGCAAACAGGAUUAGAUACCCUGGUA